rnacentral:rRNA from 1 species
GAUGAACGCUAGCUACAGGCUUAACACAUGCAAGUCGAGGGGUAACGAGAGGAAAGCUUGCUUUCCUUGUCGACGACCGGCGCACGGGUGAGUAACGCGUAUCCAACCUGCCCCCCAACUAAGGAAUAACCUUGCGAAAGUAAGACUAAUACCUUAUAAUUUCCUCAGAUGUCAUCUGACGAGGAAUAAAGAUUUAUCGGUUGUGGAUGGGGUUGCGUCUGAUUAGCUUGUUGGCGGGGUAACGGCCCACCAAGGCAACGAUCAGUAGGGGUUCUGAGAGGAAGGUCCCCCACAUUGGAACUGAGACACGGUCCAAACUCCUACGGGAGGCAGCAGUGAGGAAUAUUGGUCAAUGGGCGGAAGUCUGAACCAGCCAAGUAGCGUGCAGGAUGACGGCCCUAUGGGUUGUAAACUGCUUUUAUACAGGAAUAAGUUAGCCACGUGUGGUUAUUUGUAGGUACUGUAUGAAUAAGGACCGGCUAAUUCCGUGCCAGCAGCCGCAGUAA